rnacentral:lncRNA from 1 species
AAUGGGAGACAGCCUCAGGAUGAAGCCAACACUCAGAGAAUGACAAAAUCAAAACUUGGAGAUUAACUGACCUCAUAUAGCAUUGCAUAAGCCCCUGAAUCAAGUUAUGCCUGAAGCUUAGUCCUUGAGCCUUCAACUACAUGAACCAAUAUAUUUCUCUAAUUAACCAGGACCUUUUUAUUGCAUUGGGCCCAUCUGGAUAUCCCAGGAUAAUCUCCCUACUUCAAGAGAGAAUGAAGGCAAGGAGAAUGUAAGAACUCAGAAGGCAAGAAGAGAAGCUGGCAUUAGAAUGCGGUUGAACAAGAGAAAGAGUUGGAGAUGCUGAGUUCUGGAGGCAGAUCUACCUAAGAAAAUGGUUAUUUGAAGAAGUGAUUGACUCCAGGGCGAGAGCAAGAAAAGUACAAUAAGAAUUUAAAACAUCUUCCACAGCCGGAAAGUAAGAAGUAUUCAAAAGGAUGUCUCUCCAUCCUGACAAUUCCAGAAUGCAGAGCAUGUGGACCUUUCCUCAUCUAUUCAGAACCUCAUCUAUUCAGAACCUCAUCUACUCAGAAUUUAAAAACAUUAUUUAAGAAGAGACAAGGAAAAAAAGAUGGAGGGAUGAUUUUUGUGCCAUUUCAGGGUGACAGAAAAGGAAACAAGGAGAGCUGGAAUUGACCUGGAUCCUUGUGGGAAAUACUUCAGUGAUGGAUGGAAGCAGAGGGAGAAAGGACCAAAAUGAAGCCAGGAGGGACAAGAUGGCUGGAAUGUUUGGUUCUGAGGAUUCAUGAUUGUCCUUAACUCACACGGACUGAACUCUCGCUUGCCUGUCUUCCUGGGGCUUGUGUAAGAACAUCCUGCAGAAAAGUAUUAACAACGCGAGUGAUCUUCA